CUUUUAUGGAGAGUUUGAUCCUGGCUCAGGACGAACGCUGGCGGCGUGCCUAAUACAUGCAAGUCGAGCGCGGGAAGCGAGUGGAUCCCUUCGGGGUGAAGCUCGUGGAACGAGCGGCGGACGGGUGAGUAACACGUGGGCAACCUGCCUGUAAGACCGGAAUAACCCCGGGAAACCGGGGCUAAUGCUGGGUAAUACUUUUC
rnacentral:rRNA from 1 species